rnacentral:rRNA from 1 species
CCUAAGGUAGCGAAAUUCCUUGUCAGGUAAGUUCUGACCCGCACGAAUGGCGUAAUGAUUUGGGCACUGUCUCAACAGCCCGCCCGGCGAAAUUGUAGUACUGGUGAAGAUGCCAGUUACCCGCAACUAGACGGAAAGACCCCAUGGAGCUUUACUGCAGCUUAAUACUGAAAUUCGGUAGUACAUGUACAGGAUAGGUGGGAGACUGAGAAAUACAGGCGUCAGCUUGUAUGGAGUCGCUGUUGGGAUACCACUCUUGUACUGCUGGGUUUCUAACCUGCGGCCGUGAAUCCGGUCGGGGGACACUGUUAGGCGGGCAGUUUGACUGGGGCGGUCGCCUCCCAAAAGGUAACGGAGGCGCUCAAAGGUUCGUUCAGCACGGACGGAAAUCGUGCAAUGAGUGUAAACGCAUAAACGAGCCUAACUGCGACACCGACGGGUGGAGCAGUAACGAAAGUUGGAGUUAGUGAUCCGGUGGUAUGUGAGUGGAAAUGCCAUCGCUCAACGGAUAAAAGUUACCCUGGGGAUAACAGGCUGAUCUCCCCCAAGAGUCCACAUCGACGGGGAGGUUUGGCACCUCGAUGUCGGCUCAUCGCAUCCUGGGGCUGUAUUCGGUCCCAAGGGUUUGGCUGUUCGCCAAUUAAAGCGGCACGCGAGCUGGGUUCAGAACGUCGUGAGACAGUUCGGUCCCUAUCUGUUGCGGGCGUAAGAGAUUUGAAGGGAGCUGUCCUUAGUACGAGAGGACCGGGAUGGACGUACCUCUGGUGCACCAGUUGUCCUGCCAAGGGCAUAGCUGGGUAGCUAUGUACGGACGAGAUAAACGCUGAAAGCAUCUAAGCGUGAAACUCCCCCUAAGAUGAGAUCUCUCAUCCUUCAAGGAGUAAGGACCCAGAAAGACGAUCUGGUUGAUAGGCCGAAGGUGGAAGCGCAGUAAUGUGUGCAGCUGAUCGGUACUAAUAGUCCGAGGGCUUGACCUA